rnacentral:lncRNA from 1 species
UGUGGUAUAAGUGCAAAUGAGACAAAAUUCAAUUCAAGUCCAUGUGUAUUUAAUUGCAACAAAUAUUUCUAAUUACAGAAGUUUGAAGGAUUAGUUCUUGAUGUGACAUGUAACUUUCAGCACAUAUGGCUAUAGCAUAAGGGCCAUAUUCUAUUCAUAGAAUUCUAAAAAUAAACCUUUGGAGGAAGCUGGAGUAGCUAUAGAAAAAAAAACAGAACUUUGGCAGGAAAUCUGGCAAUCCUUUCAUUUAAGAUUAUUGUCAAAUUGCCAAAGUGAGUUUCAAACCAGGUUUUUAUGGAGAGGUUAUGUUCCUGAGAAUUAGGAAAUAGACGACCAUAUUGUGACAAAAAAACUGGCUUUUAUUUAUCCUAUAAAUUUCUGUUUUUUGCUCUUUUUAAGGGGCCUAUAUUGGGUGUGCCUCUAUUUGAAUCUGUGCAUGCAACUUGAGUGUUGCCAAGCAAGUGAUUGAAUUUGAGAAGUCUAUGUUGUAUAAACUAUGUUUAUAUGAUAAUGACUAAAAACCUUAACAUGUACAAUUUAACUGAUUGUCAAUUGAAUCAACAAUUAUAUAACAUAGCUCUAUAUAAGUUAUAUAAACAGCAUAGUUGAACAAAAUAAUAUCCACAAAGUA